UUGGCCCUGAUCAAGACUAGCGGCUUGCAGUAGCUGUGGGUUUCAAACAGUGCCAACAUUAAAUUCUUCCUGUGGUCUGUUGGUUUCCCCCAGAGUAACAAAGGGGAUAGUCAAUUCAGUUGGAAGGAACAAAA